GACGAACGCUGGCGGCGUGCUUAACACAUGCAAGUCGAACGGAAAGACCCUGCUCUUGUGGGGUGCUCGAUUGGCGAACGGGGGAGUAACACGUGAGUAACCUGUCCUUGACUUUGGGAUAACUUCAGGAAACUGGGGCGAAUACCCGAUAGGAUCUCCUGCUCCAUGGUGGGGGUUGGUAAGUUUCGGCGGUGGGGGAUGGACUCGCUGCUUAUCAGCUUGUUUGUCGGGUAGGUGCUUACCAAGGCUUUGACGGGUAGCCUGCCUGAGAGGGUGAACGGCCACAUUAGGACUGAGAUACGGACCAGACUCCUACGGGAGGCAGCAGUGGGGAAUAUUACACAAUGGGCGGGAGUCUGAUGCAGCAACGCCGCGUGCGGGAUGCCGGCCUUCGGGUUGUAAACAGCUUUCGCCUGUGACGAAGCGUGAGUGACGGUACUGGGUAAGGAAGCACCGGCUAACUACGUG
rnacentral:rRNA from 1 species